GGACGGUUCGAGUAAGUGAUAUUUCGGAACAGUAUCUAGUUCCUUCAAUACCAAUGUGUUCUAGUAAUAUGAAUUUUUUUCUGUGUUGGUGUUGUGUACUCAGGUGAAUAACAUGUUUGCGAUGUUACUCUGAGUGCAUAUCCACACCGGGCGAGCCUGAAAAAUAUGCCCGGCCAUGGUGGGAUUCGAACCUACGACCUUUGGAAUACUAGCCCAAUGCUCUUCCAACUGAGCUACGCGGUCAGGACGGUUCGAGUAAGUGAUAUUUCGGAACAGUAUCUAGUUCCUUCAUUACCAAUGUGUUCUAGUAAUAUGAAUUUUUUUCUGUGUUGGUG